UUCCCGAAUGCAGGAGAGUGCUACACCGUAUUACACGGCAAGCCACCGAAGGCGCAGACACCCUUAAAUCGCUCAGGUAAAAGGACUGCAUUUCAUCA
rnacentral:ncRNA from 2 species